UGUUCCGGUGAGGGCCAAUCAGGCGGCGGCGAGAGGCGCGUGCCCUCGCUUUGCGUUGGAAAACGGGGAGAUUUGGGGGAUAUUUUUAUGCAGUGUUGUUUCAAAGGGAUCAUCACUCACUCACACACACACACACACAGACACACACACGCGCGCGCGAACACACAUACACACACGCGCGCGCGCGCGCGCAGGGAGCGCAGACAGGGCCAGACACAGGAGCGGUGUAUUAAAGCGUCUACAUCCGGGACAUUUCGGUAAUAAUGCCCCACUGAGCCGGAGGAGUGUGAGAGCAAAGCUUUUCCUCCAACAUCUUUCUAAACAAUGCACUCGGAGGGCGUGUGUGUGUUAGAUACAGGAGCGAUGCUCAGGUGAACACGGCCGUCGUUAGAAAGUGGUCAGGAUCUUCCCGGUGAGUGUGCCCUUAUCGAUCAACGACGUCGAAAGUCGCCUACUUUAAGAGGAAGUAUGCGGAAGAGGAGGAUGUCCAGGGAAGCCUACAUGGAUAUUUACAAAAACACCUGAUCUUACGCGAGGAGCGCAGCUGCAUUUUGCGCCUGUCGCUGCAGAAGCUGCGUUUCCUGGACGACCCUGAGGCCUUCCUGCGCCGCGCCGUUCUCAUCAACAACCUGCUGCGCAAGAUCCACUCGGACGACGGGCAGAGGGACCGAGACAGACCGAGGAAUGGAGAGAAAGAAGAAGAAGAAGAGGAGAGGCUGUUUUACUUGGAUAGGAAGAGACUGAAGGUCAUGGUGACGCCUGAACACGGACAUUCCAUCCUCCUCUAUCCACUUAAUAACAACUGCUAAAAUCCCACUGUACUUAAGCGCUGGCAUUUACACCCAGCAGUGAUGAUGGCAUAGGAUGGAGGCGGAGGUGUGUGUCUGCGCAGUGUGUGUGUGUGUGUGUGUGUGUAAGACUGUGUGUCAGCGUCAAACACUUGGAAGCUGGGAUUAUUGCAGUGUGAGAUGGACUACAAGAAGCAUCUGUGAACAUCAGGGUUUGCUUUUUUACACAUGAAAAGAAAGACUCGAGUCCAACUGCCUCUAUAAAUAAACUUUUAUUUUGCUUUUUUUUUUUUUUUUUUUUUUUUUUUUUUUUGCUAAGCAUUUUUCAGGGAUUAAAAAAAAAAAGCCAUGCACUUUGUAUCUCUGUAAGUAAAUGUAAAUGUAAAGUUUGUUGCCUGAAUGUUGUUCUGCUAUAAGAGCCACGGUUUCCAAGCAAAGCAUCUAAUAUAAUAUAAUAUAAUAUAAUAUAAUAUAAUAUAAUAUAAUAUAAUAUAUGGUAUGAUAUAUAAAAUACAGUGUGAAGAGUGUAUGAUAUGUGCUUGAGUGAGGAUAAAUGAUCUAGUUUGAUAACAGAACAGGAAAUGGCUCAUAGUGCUCUACUGCCCACUAGUGUUCACCAGUGUGAUUGUUCAUGCAACAUUUUUAUGCUGUUUUUCACAAUCUGUACAAAGUUCUCUCCAGAUUUCAGAUUUCAGACACUAACCAUGUUGAACACUUCAUUUAAGGCAGGAGAAGGAAAUUAUUUUGGUCUGAUAUUCCUUUCAUGCCAGAAUCUAUAGAUUAUUUUAAGGUAAAUUUGGAGAAGUUUGGAAAGCAUUUGUCCAUGGAAAGUUCUAGCUGUUCUUAUGCUGUCUGUUUUUCUACUUACAGUUUAAUUGCACUCUUGCUACAGACAUUUAUUAAUCAGCCUUAACAUAUUUACAUAUCAAAAUCAUCCUUAAACAGUGAGAUUUAAUCAUUCACUUCUGGUUCUGUUUACAACACAACUGCAGACUAAUUGCAAAAAUCUGGUCUGAUGCUCAUAUAUACAUAUAUAUAUAUAUAAAAUGUAAGAUAAAAAAAAAAAAAAGCAGAG